GGACAAUGUUACCGUCGGAAGAGGGAGGAACCAGCAAUGACACUGAGUGACACUAGAUGGCAACGGAAACUUAACAAAAGAAGGGGCGAUUGGAGCCAGGGAAGGUUGGGGGAGCUUGGGCUUGAGGGGUGGUUGGGUAGAGAAAAGGGACUUUUUUCAGAAGGAGAAGUAGAAGAAGGCAGUAGAAUCGCAAUAUCUAGAGACUGCGAGAUGGGAAGGCAAGAUUGAGAGGAAGGUAGGGAUAUUAUGAAGGAAGGUUACAUUUGGACAAAAGGGAAGGAAGUUCGCACUCUGAACUCAGAAGGAGUUGAGAUUUGAGAAUGAGAACGAAACACAUAAAUGGUGGGCCCCAAAGUCACACUGGCAAAGAUACAAAGGAGAGAACUAGAGGGACGACGCUCGCACAGAGGGGAAAGGAAAGGUAAUUAGUUAUUUAGGCUUAGGUGUUAUGAACAUGGGCUGGAAAAUUAUGAAGAUGGGCAUCAUUCAUCAUUUUCUCGUACAGACAGAAGGGCGAUAAGAGAGGCCCCCAAAUGCAAAAUGGCAGGCCCCUUAAUCAGCCAAAAAAAAAUCAGUUGAAUCAGUUUUUUGUCAAAAAUAACCGAACUGUACCGACAACCAAACUUUCUAAAAAUCAUUUGAACUGAAAAACCAAACUAAAAUGGUUCAAUUCAGUCUUUUGGUUAUAAGCAAUUUCUG
rnacentral:misc_RNA from 1 species